rnacentral:rRNA from 1 species
CCUACGGGUGGCAGCAGUGAGGAAUAUUGGUCAAUGGACGCAAGUCUGAACCAGCCAUGCCGCGUGCAGGAUGACGGCUCUAUGAGUUGUAAACUGCUUUUGUACGAGGGUAAACCCCGAUACGUGUAUCGGGUUGAAAGUAUCGUACGAAUAAGGAUCGGCUAACUCCGUGCCAGCAGCCGCGGUAAUACGGAGGAUCCGAGCGUUAUCCGGAUUUAUUGGGUGUAAAGGGUGCGUAGGCGGUUUGAUAAGUUAGAGGUGAAAUGUCGGGGCUCAACCCCGAAACUGCCUCUAAUACUGUUGGACUAGAGAAUAGUUGCGGUAGGCGGAAUGUAUGGUGUAGCGGUGAAAUGCUUAGAGAUCAUACAGAACUCCGAUUGCGAAGGCAGCUUACUAAACUGCCACUGACAUUGAUGCUCGAAAGUGUGGGUAUCAAACAGGAUUAGAUACCCCAGUAGUC